CACAACAACAGGCUUCUUGGUUGAUAUAGGGCAAGAUUCAUCCUAUGGUUACAACUUCAAAUUAUUAUAUUUUGUAUCAUUUAAACUUUAAAUAGGUCAAUCUUGAAGUUGUUUAAUUUUCAACUUUUUAGUACAUCUAGCAUAGGGGCCAUGGCUUAAUAGAAUGGCAAAAGUCUAGGCUUGCAACCAUAAAGAUGCAGGUUUGUGAUCUAACAGCAGCCACUUAUAUAAACUCAUUUCCAGAACUCGACUUUAGUGGAACCAUAACUCUUUUGUGUGUCUGUGUGAAAAAAGAAAUGCAAAUCGGUGGAGCUUUAAAGGAAAUAAGCAAUCUAACUGAAAGAAAUAAACAAAAUUGAUGAGUAAUGCCCUUCAAUUACAUAUAAUAUCAGCAAAAGGGGCCAUUUAAAAUCUCUCUGAAGUAGAAACACAUAAAAAGAAUAAGAAAGCUAUCUUGCCCCACAAUAACUGCAAUAUUGAACUUAUAUUCUUAAAGAUUUAAGUUUUGAGCAUUUGUCACCUGUCAAGUGCUUCAAAUAACAGAAAAUACCACUAAAUGGUAGAAGUUUGAGCCUCUUUUCUGCAAAUUGCUUAAAGUUUGUUUCCAGAAAAUCUUCAAGCAUUUCCAGAAAUACCUAAUUCUCGUAAGAAAUACCGAUAGUUGAUUCCAACCGUACCAAAAUGUUGUACAAAGAAGAUAAAAAUGAGAUUUACUUCUUUUAUGAUGCAUAACACAUAUGUUAGAGGAUAAUACUUUGUUAGAUCUUUGUAGUGCCUUGGCUCCUUGUUAGUAAUUUUUUGGAGAAUUGAAAAUAAAACAAAAGCUUGUACUUCAAACAAAAUUCUGGCCUUCAAAUUUAAUUUGCCAAAGGAAAAGGAAUAAGAGUUGGAACACAAAAAUGAUGCAAAAAAAAUACAUUCCAGACUUGGUCAGAAUUCAGAUUCUUCUAUCCAAACUAGACGACAACAGAAGAAUAGGAGGAUUUAAGUAACAAAGAAAGAAUCAUAAUACCUUAUCAUUUAGAUUUCUGAAAAAAGGGGCAUUACAAGACUCAGAAUAUCAAAAGCAAGAUAACUUGAAAUAGGUGCAUUAUGGAGAGUAAAGAUUUUAUAAUUUGUGAAAGUAAAGAUCAAAAAAAAAUGAACUACUUUUC
rnacentral:misc_RNA from 1 species